rnacentral:rRNA from 1 species
GACGAACGCUGGCGGCGUGCUUAACACAUGCAAGUCGAACGGAAAGGCCCUGCUUUUGUGGGGUUCUCGAGUGGCGAACGUGUGAGUAACACGUGAGUAACCUGCCCUUGACUUUGGGAUAACUUCAGGAAGCUGGGGCUAAUACCGGCUAGGAGCUCCUGCUGCAUGGUGGGGGUUGGACAGUUUCGGCGGUUGUGGAUGGACUCGCGGCUUAUCAGCUGGUUGGUGGGGUACUGGCUUACCAAGGCUUUGACGGGUGGCCGGCCUGAGAGGGUGACCGGCCACAUUGGGCCUGAGAUACGGCCCAGACUCCUACGGGAGGCAGCAGUGGGGAAUAUUGCACAAUGGGCGGAAGCGUGAUGCAGCAACCCCGCGUGCGUGAUGACGGCCCUCGGGUUGUAAACCGCUUUCGCCUGUGACGAAGCUUGAGUGACGGUAAUGGGUAAAGAAGCACCGGCUAACUACGUG